CCUACGGGAGGCAGCAGUGGGGAAUAUUGCGCAAUGGGCGAAAGCCUGACGCAGCGACGCCGCGUGAGGGAUGAAGGUCUUCGGAUCGUAAACCUCUGUCAGCAGGGAAGAACGGUCACUGUGCUAUUCAGCAGUGAAUUGACGGUACCUGCAAAGGAAGCACCGGCUAACUCCGUGCCAGCAGCCGCGGUAAUACGGAGGGUGCGAGCGUUAAUCGGAAUUACUGGGCGUAAAGCGCUCGUAGGCGGUAUGUCAAGUCAAGGGUGAAAUCCCCGGGCUCAACGUGGGAACUGCCUUUGAAACUGGCAGACUGGAGUGUGUGAGAGGAUAGUGGAAUUCCAGGUGUAGGAGUGAAAUCCGUAGAGAUCUGGAGGAACAUCAGUGGCGAAGGCGACUAUCUGGCACAUAACUGACGCUGAGGAGCGAAAGCGUGGGUAGCAAACAGGAUUAGAUACCCGGGUAGUC
rnacentral:rRNA from 1 species